AUGUUCGGAGACGACGCAGUCGAUGUCGGUGCCGGCAUGAAACCGGCGGUCGAUCCAUCCAGUGGACACGCGGCUAAUCCUGACCCGCCUGCAGCGCAGCCUGGUGCUUCGGGUGCGACGACGGGGGAGGAAGCCGGCGGCGUGGCGGGCUGGGACUACGUGUACGAUCCGUCGUCGGGGUACUACUACAGCUGCAGCACGGGGCACUACUACGACGCCGCGUCCGGAUGCUACUGGUCCGCGUCCACGGGCACAUCGUUCUCCUACGACGUCGACGGCGAGGCGAGCGGUACCCCGGCACGCACGUCCGAAUGUAGGGGCGCAGUGCUGCAAAUGUUUGGCUGA
rnacentral:rRNA from 1 species